rnacentral:tRNA from 1 species
GCUUGCUUAACUCAGUUGGUAGAGUGCAACUUUUACACAGUUGAUGUCAUCGGUUCGAAUCCGGUAGCGAGCA